UACGAGAGGCCCAAACGUUAUUCGGAAUUACUGGGCGUAAAGGGCAUGCAGGCGGUCGGACGCGUUUCGGGUGACAGCGGGUGGCUUAACUACCCGAGUGGUCGAAAGACGGUUUGACUUGAGGACGCGAGAGGGACACGGAAUUCCGGGUGGAGUGGUGAAAUGCGUAGAGAUCCGGAGGAACACCGAAGGCGAAGGCAGUGUCCUGGCGCGUAACUGACGCUGAGGUGCGAAAGCCAGGGGAGCGAACGGG
rnacentral:rRNA from 1 species